UACGAAGGGGGCUAGCGUUGUUCGGAAUUACUGGGCGUAAAGCGCACGUAGGCGGCUUUGUAAGUUAGAGGUGAAAGCCCGGAGCUCAACUCCGGAAUUGCCUUUAAGACUGCAUCGCUUGAAUCCAGGAGAGGUGAGUGGAAUUCCGAGUGUAGAGGUGAAAUUCGUAGAUAUUCGGAAGAACACCAGUGGCGAAGGCGGCUCACUGGACUGGUAUUGACGCUGAGGUACGAAAGCGUGGGGAGCAAACAGG
rnacentral:rRNA from 1 species